CCUACGGGUGGCAGCAGUCGAGAAUCAUUCACAAUGGGGGAAACCCUGAUGGUGCGACGCCGCGUGGGGGAAUGAAGGUCUUCGGAUUGUAAACCCCUGUCAUGUGGGAGCAAAUUAAAAAGAUAGUACCACAAGAGGAAGAGACGGCUAACUCUGCGCCAGCAGCCGCGGUAAGACAGAGGUCUCAAGCGUUGUUCGGAAUCACUGGGCGUAAAGCGGGCGUAGGUUGUUGCUUAAGUCGUGUGUGAAAGGCGCGGGCUCAACCCGCGGACGGCAGAUGAUACUGCGGGACUAGAGUGAUGGAGAGGGAGGCGGAAUUCUCGGUGUAGCAGUGAAAUGCGUAGAUAUCGAGAGGAACACUGAUGGCGAAGGCAGGUUCCUGGACAUUAACUGACGCUGAGGCACGAAGGCCAGGGGAGCGAAAGGGAUUAGAUACCCUGGUAGUC
rnacentral:rRNA from 1 species